GGGAAAGAUGGAUCAACCAUGAUUGAAUGGUGAUAGACAUGAUGGGCCAAAUGGACUUAAUUCUGCUCCUGUGACUUAUGAACUGUUUGGAACAAUGGAAUUUAACAGCAAAAACUGAGCUUUGGGGAUUUCAAACAUUUCAUUGAGUUAGUGGAGAGUCCAACUGAGUACUGAGGUCAUGCAUCCACUUAAAGAGUCCAAGUCCAGUCAUCGGACGCUGAUGGAACUUGUUGAGAGCAAGAAACGGCAUAACUUACCAGAUGAAUUUUGAACAUGGGUAACAUCAGAUCAGUUUUUUAUCGUGGUGUAUUUUAUUUCGCCAUGUAGCAGCAUGACCUUGAGAAGACCUGAGACAAUAAUAGAGUGAAGUGGCUGGUUCUCAUUUUAACAGCAGCUGUGUCUGCAUUGGUGAGGC